AAUGGAGAGUGAGAGCUUUCCUUCAGCCCACUCAUGGAUAGGACAUAAUGGGUUGAUGAAGUGACUGCCGACUCAUUCACUCAAGCACUUAGUAGAGAAAAAAGCAAAGGAGAGAUUCAAUACUUUUCUACUGUGAUUGUGUGAAUGAAGCGGGAGAUACUUUGCAUCCCUCUUUCUCUGUGCUUGGACUGAAGGGAGCUCCUCCUUUCCAUUGC
rfam:Morus notabilis contig23621, whole genome shotgun sequence.